rnacentral:rRNA from 1 species
AACGUAGGAGACGAACGUUAUCCGGAGUUACUGGGCGUAAAGCGCGUGCAGGCGGUCUGAUAAGUUCGGCGUGAAAUAUUCCGGCUUAACCGGGAUAGGUCGUCGGAGACUGUCGGACUAGAGGGUGAUAGAGGCGUGUGGAAUUCCGGGUGUAGUGGUGAAAUGCGUAGAGAUCCGGAGGAACACCAGUGGCGAAGGCGACACGCUGGGUCACACCUGACGCUAAAGCGCGAAAGCAUGGGGAGCGAACGGG